rnacentral:ncRNA from 5 species
AGAAGACCCUGUUGAGCUUGACU